CAGCCUUGAUGAAGGAGGCUGAAGAGCAUGUAGCCAAAGUAAGAGAGAACUUGAAAGCAGCUCAAAGCAGACAAAAGAGUUAUGCCGACACUAGAAGGAGAAAUCUUGAGUUCGAGACAGGAGAUCAUGUGUAUCUGAAGGUAUCGCCGAUAAGAGGCACACGACGAUUUCGGAUUCGAGGAAAGUUAGCACCUCGAUACAUUGGACCAUACAAGAUAUUAAGCAGGAUUGGUGCCGUGGCAUACCGCCUCGCACUUCCAGAAGAGAUGGCAGACAUUCACAACGUCUUCCAUGUAUCACAGUUGAAGAAGUGCUUAAGGAUUCCUGAAGAGCAAGUACCGAUAGAAGUGAUGGACCUUCAACCGGACCUACGGUACCAAGAGCGACCAAUAAAAAUAUUGGAUACAACAGAGCGACAAACUAGAAGAUCUGUAGUCAGAUUCUGUCAAGUACAGUGGAGCAACCACAAGGAGGCUGAAGCUACCUGGGAGCGUGAAGAUGAUCUUCGGAAGGAGUUCCCCUACCUCUUCGAAGAAGAACCUCAAAUCUCGAGGACGAGAUUUUCCUAAGUGGGAGGAAGGAGCAUUCGAGGACGACCCCGAGGACCCAGAGUUUGAAGGAGCAGGCGAGGACUUCAACGAAGAUGAUCCAGAGGCCGACUUCGCCGAAGAAGGAGAUGAAGAUUAGAGAAGCCGGUUUCGUCUGCACUCAAGCUGCCUGUAGGGCUUGGGUCGCUUUUGUAUGUUUCCGCUGUGUUCUGAGAGUUUGUAAGAUUAUGCCUUCGGACUUCUAUUGUAAUGAACUCUGUAUUGUACCUUAUUAUCGUAUUUAUCCGAUGUAUGACUAUGAUGUCUACUUCUGUUGGAGUUCGUGCGUACCAGCUACUGAUCCAGGGACUGGUAUGAGCUACACGAGGUGACCCCAAAGGAGGGGUCCG